CCUACGGGAGACUGCAGUGAGGACUAUUGGUCAAUGGCCGGAAGGCUGAACCAGCCAAGCCGCGUGAAGGACGACUGUGCUACGCAUUGUAAACUUCUUUUGUCAAGGGACACAACCCGGCUCGAGAGCCUGAUCGAGGGUACUUGAAGAAAAAGCAUCGGCUAACUCCGUGCCAGCAGCCGCGGUCAUACGGAGGAUGCGAGCGUUAUCCGGAUUUAUUGGGUUUAAAGGGUGCGUAGGCGGACUGUUACGUGAGCGGUAAAAGCCCGGGGCUCAACCCCGGCGAGCCGUUGAAACUGGGUGUCUUGAGAGGGCGGGAGGUAUGCGGAAUGCGAGGGGUAGCGGUGAAAUGCUUAGAUAUUGCGCAGAACUCCGAUUGCGAAGGCAGCAUACCGGCGGCGAUCUGACGCUGAGGCACGAAAGCGUGGGUAUCGAACAGGAUUAGAUACCCCAGUAGUC
rnacentral:rRNA from 1 species